rnacentral:rRNA from 1 species
UACGGAGGAUCCGAGCGUUAUCCGGAUUUAUUGGGUUUAAAGGGUGCGCAGGCGGUCUGGUAAGUUAUAGGUGAAAUCCCGCAGCUCAACUGUAAAAGUGCCUUCGAAACUGGUUUCCUUGAGUGUAGAUGAAGUAGGCGGAAUUUGUGGUGUAGCGGUGAAAUGCAUAGAUAUCACGAGGAACUCCGAUUGCGCAGGCAGCUUACUAAACUACUACUGACGCUCAGGCACGAAGGCGUGGGGAUCAAACAGGAUUAGAUACCCCGGUAGUCCCU